rnacentral:rRNA from 1 species
UACGUAGGGAGCGAGCGUUGUCCGGAUUUACUGGGUGUAAAGGGUGCGUAGGCGGGCUGUCAAGUCAGAUGUGAAAUACCGGGGCUCAACUCCGGGGCUGCAUUUGAAACUGAUGGUCUUGAGUGAAGUAGAGGCAGGCGGAAUUCCUAGUGUAGCGGUGAAAUGCGUAGAUAUUAGGAGGAACACCAGUGGCGAAGGCGGCCUGCUGGGCUUUAACUGACGCUGAGGCACGAAAGCAUGGGGAGCAAACAGG